UACGUAGGGGGCUAGCGUUGUCCGGAAUCAUUGGGCGUAAAGCGCGUGUAGGCGGCCCGGUAAGUCCGCUGUGAAAGUCGGGGGCUCAACCCUCGGAUGCCGGUGGAUACUGUCGGGCUCGAGUACGGAAGAGGCGAGUGGAAUACCUGGUGUAGCGGUGAAAUGCGCAGAUAUCAGGAGGAACACCAAUGGCGAAGGCAGCACUCUGGGACGUGACUGACGCUGAGACGCGAAAGCGUGGGGAGCAAACAGG
rnacentral:rRNA from 1 species